CCCAGUGGUGGGCUAUACGGGUAACCUUCGGGUUAGCCGGUUUCCUUUUUGUCGGUCUGCGACCCCGUAUAGCCUGCCUCCCUC
rnacentral:antisense_RNA from 1 species